rnacentral:ncRNA from 1 species
GCGAGGGGUAGGAGCUCGGAACCGCGGCCCGCAAGACGGGCACUGAAGGGGCGCAGGGGGCUAGUGGUGCGACCGGCUACCGCUCCG